AUGCUCCGCGGGGUGCGCCCAGCAAUUCGCCCGUCCGCCCGCCCGCCCGCCAGAAAGUGGCAGUGCGGCUGCCGCAAGCGUGUGAUGGAAGCGGCGCGGCGGCAUCACGCAAUCCGCGGGCACCCGGCGCGUGCGCGCCUGCCCGUGGCUCUGGGCGUGUGGGUGGUGGUGCGCCUCGAAACAAGAGAGAGAGAGAGAGAGACCAGCGGUGCGGGCGGCAUGGUGUGGUGGGUGCCUACCCCACGGCACGGCACCGCGAUCCGGGCGGCACGCCCGCGCAGCCGGCUGAUGCCGACAUGUGGGCUGGUCGACCGCGCCCGUCGCUCCGUUAACGCCGCCGUCCGCGUCCCGCCAAGACAAAUUCAGUGCGCCCGGUUGUUUUCGUCGUGCGUGUGA
rnacentral:rRNA from 1 species